rnacentral:rRNA from 1 species
AAUAGAUACCCUGGUAGUCCUAGCCGUAAACGUUGGGUGCUAGGUGUGGGCGGAUAUCGACCCCGUCCGUGCCGAAGCUAACGCAUUAAGCACCCCGCCUGGGGAGUACGGCCGCAAGGCUAAAACUCAAAGGAAUUGACGGGGCCCCGCACAAGCGGCGGAGCAUGCUGCUUAAUUCGAUGCAACGCGAAGAACCUUACCUGGGUUUGGCAUGCAGGGUGAAACCCGUGAAAGCGGGCGCUCUUCGGAGCCUGCACAGGUGGUGCAUGGCUGUCGUCAGCUCGUGCCGUGAGGUGUUGCCUUAAGUGGCGCAACGAGCGCAACCCCUGUCCUUAGUUGCCAGCGGGUCAUGCCGGGAACUCUAGGGAGACUGCCGGUGCCAAACCGGAGGAAGGUGGGGAUGACGUCAAGUCAGCAUGCCCCUUAUACCCAGGGCUGCAAGCAUGCUACAAUGCGCGAUACAAAGGGCUGCGAUCCCGUAAGGGGAGCGAAUCCCAAAAAGUCGCGCUCAGUUCGGAUCGAGGUCUGCAACCCG